UUCAGAUGUCUUAGCACUAGGCUUUGGCCUAU
rnacentral:piRNA from 1 species